GUCAGAUGAACGCGGGCGGCGUGCCUAAUACAUGCAAGUCGAGCGAACAGACAAGGAGCUUGCUCCUUUGACGUAGCGGCGGACGGGUGAGUAACACGUGGGUAACCUACCUAUAAGACUGGGAUAACUUCGGGAAACCGGAGCUAAUACCGGAUAAUAUUUCGAACCGCAUGGUUCGAUAGUGAAAGAUGGUUUUGCUAUCACUUAUAGAUGGACCCGCGCCGUAUUAGCUAGUUGGUAAGGUAACGGCUUACCAAGGCGACGAUACGUAGCCGACCUGAGAGGGUGAUCGGCCACACUGGAACUGAGACACGGUCCAGACUCCUACGGGAGGCAGCAGUAGGGAAUCUUCCGCAAUGGGCGAAAGCCUGACGGAGCAACGCCGCGUGAGUGAUGAAGGUCUUCGGAUCGUAAAACUCUGUUAUUAGGGAAGAACAUACGUGUAAGUAACUAUGCACGUCUUGACGGUACCUAAUCAGAAAGCCACGGCUAACUACGUGCCAGCAGCCGCGGUAAUACGUAGGUGGCAAGCGUUAUCCGGAAUUAUUGGGCGUAAAGCGCGCGUAGGCGGUUUUUUAAGUCUGAUGUGAAAGCCCACGGCUCAACCGUGGAGGGUCAUUGGAAACUGGAAAACUUGAGUGCAGAAGAGGAAAGUGGAAUUCCAUGUGUAGCGGUGAAAUGCGCAGAGAUAUGGAGGAACACCAGUGGCGAAGGCGACUUUCUGGUCUGUAACUGACGCUGAUGUGCGAAAGCGUGGGGAUCAAACAGGAUUAGAUACCCUGGUAGUCCACGCCGUAAACGAUGAGUGCUAAGUGUUAGGGGGUUUCCGCCCCUUAGUGCUGCAGCUAACGCAUUAAGCACUCCGCCUGGAGACACAGUGG
rnacentral:rRNA from 2 species